rnacentral:rRNA from 1 species
UGAGGAAUAUUGGUCAAUGGACGGAAGUCUGAACCAGCCAAGUAGCGUGCAGGAUGACGGCCCUAUGGGUUGUAAACUGCUUUUGUAUGGGGAUAAAGUUAGGGACGUGUCCCUAUUUGCAGGUACCAUAUGAAUAAGGACCGGCUAAUUCCGUGCCAGCAGCCGCGGUAAUACGGAAGGUUCGGGCGUUAUCCGGAUUUAUUGGGUUUAAAGGGAGCGUAGGCCGUUUGGUAAGCGUGUUGUGAAAUGUAGGAGCUCAACUUCUAGAUUGCAGCGCGAACUGUCAGACUUGAGUGCGCACAACGUAGGCGGAAUUCAUGGUGUAGCGGUGAAAUGCUUAGAUAUCAUGAAGAACUCCGAUUGCGAAGGCAGCUUACGGGAGCGCAACUGACGCUGAAGCUCGAAGGUGCGGGUAUCGAACAGG